rnacentral:rRNA from 1 species
GAUGAACGCUAGCGGCAGGCCUAAUACAUGCAAGUCGAACGAUACCAGAGAGCUUGCUUUCUGGGAAAGUGGCGCACGGGUGCGUAACACGUAUGCAACCUACCUUAAUCAGGGGGAUAGCCUCUCGAAAGAGAGAUUAACACCGCAUAAAAUCAGACUUCGGCAUCGAAGAAUGAUCAAAUAUUUAUAGGAUUAUGAUGGGCAUGCGUGACAUUAGCUAGUUGGUGAGGUAACGGCUCACCAAGGCUACGAUGUCGAGGGGAUCUGAGAGGAUGACCCCCCACACUGGUACUGAGACACGGACCAGACUCCUACGGGAGGCAGCAGUAAGGAAUAUUGGUCAAUGGAGGCAACUCUGAACCAGCCAUGCCGCGUGCAGGAAGACGGCCCUAUGGGUUGUAAACUGCUUUUAUACGGGAAUAAACCUCUCUACGUGUAGAGAGUUGAAUGUACUGUAAGAAUAAGGAUCGGCUAACUUCGUGCCAGCCGCCGCCGUAAAAC